UUACUUUCACUUUCGAUUUUCCACUUCCGGGUACAUCGGCAGACAUAUUUACCAUUACGCAUAUAGGUAACCCCGAAGAACUCAAGAGAUAUAGAAGUUAAAUUUGUUUCGAACCUCUUCAGAUUGUCAGGAAUGGAAAGCACGGGUGAAAAUAUGCAGAUGUGUAGACAGGGAGGUAUAUGACAAGUAUGUUCACUAUGGACCAUUAAUCAACUGUUUGCACUGCCUAUGAUCCUGAAAUAUCUAUACAUCAAAGAUAACAAGGAAAAGAUGAAGGAAAAUUUGUCCAGGAAGAACUUUAUUGCAACUACCAUCUUCCAGUUCCUUAAUUUGAGAAUAAUAUCAGAGAACACAUAGUUACAAUGAAAUAUUAGUUUAAUAUAAGCCACUGAGAAUAGUCAAAUGUACUUUUCUGAAGAAAGUGAAUGACAUCUAGCACAAGAAUCUUAAUGUAAAAGAGUAUGAUUUUAUGGUGUUUGACACUAUGAUUCCAUAAUCUAGUUAACUUGUUAAUAUCACAAUGAUAGAAACAGAGUGAAAUAUCCACAUUUCAUUGCAGUUUUAAGUAUACCAAAGUAGAAAACACACCAGAGAUAAAGAUUUUUAUGAAAUCACAUUAAAUGACUAUGAUGUAAAGAUGAAAAAGAAAACAAAAUAGCAAAAAUAUUAUAUAUCAUCUACUUCUAAUAUUCUUAGUGUAAUCAUUGAUAAGCUUACACAUUUGCAUUCAAAGCUUUGAUACCAAGCUGACCAUUUUUCAAUUAGAAUAUGAUUUAUAACUCCAUGAUAAUUUGUUCAUGUAAAUUUUCAAAGUCUUUACAUUUGUAAAAGGAAAUAUGCCUAUUCUUGUAUCAGUAGACAUUCACAGUGUAAAGUCAAAUUGUCUAAAUAACUAAUAAUAAUUUCAAGUGCUUUCCUGAGUGAAGUUUUUUCCUCUGGAAAAUCAGUGUGAUAUAUUUGCAAAGCAGUGGACUAUAAUUUGUGUAAAAAUAAAAGUUUAUCAAACUUAUAAACUGUUUUUUGUUUCUUCUAUUUGCUGUUCUUGAUCAUAAGGGUUCAUCUGCAAAAUAAGUGUCUACUUAAGUUCUCUAACAGCAAUGGUUAGAUUGCAGUAAAUACUAUGCAUGUCAUUUGAAUUUGUCUGGCCUGAAAUCGAAACAGACACUAUCUAAAUAAUAUUGAUGAAUAGUUCUUUAUAGCUCUUCAAUGACUACAUUUACUUUUAUGUACAUGGACAGAAGUUAAAAGCAUUGAUUUUUUUUGAAACAUUGACAAUUUUGAAACAUUCCCAAUUUGGGUAUAUUAAUGUAUCAGUGAUGUAAUUGUAUUGUAUCAAGUGCAAACCCUAAGUUUUGCAUGUUUUGUAUAGAUAAUUCACUUUUGGUCAAAUGUCAACAGGUUACAUUAUAUUACAGGUAAUUUGAAACACAAAGAAGUAUAUGGUAUGUAAUAACUGUCCCUCUGACACUAAAAUCUUUCAAGGAAUGGAUAAUUGCAUGUCUUCUCCAAUUUUGUGAUUAAGAGACAGACUUGGGCUUUCAAGGGCUAGCAAGCUAGUGUUUUGCAACUGAAUACUCAACACAGAUGAAUUGCAUUAAUAUUGUUUACUCUGGUAUUACUUACUACCUGCCAUGUACAAUGCAAACCAUGGCUUUUCUAAGAGCAGUGAAAGUCUUUUUGUGGAAGGAAUUUUACACAUCUUGCCUCAGAAACAAGUUUUCUUUGAUAUUUACAGAUUUAUCUUAACUGUUUUGAAACUGAAUGAUGCCUGGUUGAAACUGUUUUGGACAGCCAUUUGCAGAAGAUAAAUUAUCUUUGAAUAUAAUUCA